rnacentral:rRNA from 1 species
CCUACGGGAGGCAGCAGUGGGGGAUAUUGCACAAUGGGGGAAACCCUGAUGCAGCGACGCCGCGUGGGCGAAGAAGUAUUUCGGUAUGUAAAGCCCUAUCAGCAGGGAAGAAGAAAUGACGGUACCUGAGUAAGAAGCACCGGCUAAAUACGUGCCAGCAGCCGCGGUAAUACGUAUGGUGCAAGCGUUAUCCGGAUUUACUGGGUGUAAAGGGAGCGCAGGCGGCACGGCAAGCCUGAUGUGAAAGCCCGGGGCCCAACCGCGGGACUGCAUUGGGAACUACCGGGCUGGAGUGCCGGAGAGGUAGGCGGAAUUCCUAGUGUAGCGGUGAAAUGCGUAGAUAUUAGGAGGAACACCAGUGGCGAAGGCGGCCUACUGGAGGGUGACUGACGCUGAGGCUCGAAAGCGUGGGGAGCAAACAGGAUUAGAUACCCCGGUAGUC